rnacentral:lncRNA from 1 species
GUCAGGCAGAGUGAUUCCAGCUACAUAGACAUCGACACUCUCCUCAUAGAGGUUUGCAAUCCCAAGCUGUUGUGAGGUAAGCCGACCAGAUGUAGAAGACCCUUCUCUGCAAAACUGGAAGAGAUGUCCCGGUGAUCACAAACCCUCAGUUACAGAAUUCAAAGGCACUGAAAUGGGUAAAACGCCAACUGAAGAUCUGGGAAAUUUACUAGCAAAAAUGAUCGGUGGAACUCGAAUAAACGCAACCAAAUGAAUCAAGUGAAGAAAUCAAUCCAUGACCCAGACAAAGAAGGCAGAGAAAAGUCAACAAAAUGGAUGGGAAAAUCAGUAAUAUUGAUGAAAAAAAAAAGCCAACAAAAAGAAAGAGAAUUCAUCAAAGAACUUGAGAUUAACAACAAAGCGAAGCUAAAUGCUGGAAAGGACCACAUUGGUCAAUCAGUUAGAAACACAGAGGAAAACAUCACCAGUAGAUUUAGGCAAGUACAAGAAAGAAGAGCAGAGGUUGAGGCAAAGGCUGAGAAAACACUACAUUCAAACAUCAACACUUUAAUCCAAAAAUAGUUAACUAUGAAACAGCAACCCCACCCACCUGAAAGUUAUAAACAGAAUGUUUAGAAUAGUAAACACCAGAGUGGAGGCUUGAAUGGCUUCCAUAAGGCUCAUAUAUUUGAGUGUCGGUCUUUGCAGCUGUAAUACCACCUUUGAUAUUACUACCAAGGUGGGUCACUGUGAUGGUUUGAAUAUUCUUGGCCAGGAAGUGGCAGUAUUAGGAGGUUUUGUUGGUAUAGUUGUGGCCUUGUUGGAGGAAGUGUGUCACUGUGGGAGUGGGCAAUGAGGCCCUGCUCCGAGCUGCCUGGACACAGUCUGCUCCUGGCUUCCUUUGGAUGAAGAUGCGGAACUUCUCCAGCACCAUGCCAGCCUGGACACCUCCAUGCUGCCCACCAUGAUGAUAAUAGACUGAACCUAAGAACCCAUAAGCCAGCCCCAACUAAAUGUUGUGUUUUGUAAGAGUUGCCUUGGUUAUGGUGUCUCUUCACAGCAAUGGAAACCCUAACUAAGACACUGUACUACUGGAUGUGACAAGCAAGGAUGUACGCUCUCAGCAACUGCUUCAGUGCCAUGCUGGCACUCCUGUCAUCAUGCUCCUUACAAUGAUGAUCAUGGACUAGCUCUCCAAAACCAAUGCUAGGUGUUAUAGAGGCUGAACAUACCUGCCCAGUGUACUGAUUCAUUUUUGUGUGUCGACUUGACACAAGCUGGAGUUAUCACAGAGAAAGGAGCCUCCCUUGAGGAAAUGCCUCCAUGAGAUCCAGCUGUAAGGUAUUUUCUCAAUUAGUGAUCAAGGGUGGGAGGUCCACUUGUGGGUGGUGCCAUCCCUGGGCUGGUAGUCCUGGGUUCUAUAAGAAAGCAAGCUGAGCAAGCC